rnacentral:tRNA from 1 species
GCGGGUGUAGCCAAGUUGGUUAAGGCAGUAGAUUGUGACUCUACCAGUCGCGGGUUCAAGUCCCGUCAUUCGCC